rnacentral:rRNA from 1 species
GACGGAGGAUGCAAGUGUUAUCCGGAAUCACUGGGCGUAAAGCGUCUGUAGGUGGUUCGAAAAGUCCACUGUUAAAAAUUGAAGCUUAACUUCAAAGAUGCCGUGGAAACUUUCAAACUAGAGUGUGGUAGGGGUAGAGGGAAUUUCCAGUGGAGCGGUGAAAUGCGUAGAUAUUGGAAAGACCACCGAUGGCGAAGGCACUCUACUGGGCCAUUACUGACACUGAGAGACGAAAGCUAGGGAGCAAAUGGG